CUGCCCCGGCGAUCCACAUUUAUUUACUUGAAAGAUUGAGAUAAAAACGUAUUAAAAACUUCAAAUAUAUCUAAACUCAUGAAAAAAUAAAGCCAACCGAUUAUUUUCUCCCCCAGUGCGUGCCCGAGCCUAUUCGUGGUCACGUUGUCCCGCGUCUGGCGGGCUUGUAGAUGAGCGGAGGAGCGCAAAACAAGCGCAGCGGCGGAAUCCGGCACACACCGAACGUGGCCGCGAUCGUGACCACAGCGACGACGAAGCCUUCCCUUCCGAGCGGAACAUUCCCGUUUCUCAGAGACGUGAGCCUCGACGCGGCGGUCAGGUGCAGCCUUCAUGAUAUAGCUCCACGCUCAGAGCUCGAGCUACCGAUAUAAAUCAUGAUUUCCCCGUGGGACCGUUGGUAUUCGACCAGCUGCUGCCUCUGCUCGCCAUGUACGGACGGGCACUAUUAUUUUGGAAUAUGGUAUAUGCUCAUCAACGCGGUGGUCUUGCUCAUCCUGCUGUCUGCGCUGAACGACCCCGUCCAGUACCGCUACCACCUCACCAGCUCGGAGCUGGGCACCGACAUCGACGUCAUGGACGAUGCCAACAUCUGCAUAGCAACGCCAUCUCCUGCUCAUGAUUCUAAUAUGUGGCAUGGCCACAUAUGGGCAACAUGCGGCGUGGAUCAUACCAUCUUCUGCUACCAAAUCUUUGACUUUGCCCUCAACACCUUGGUGGCCCGUCAGUGUGGUCGUCUAUCCCAACACGGUGCAGGACUACCUCAGCAGCUGGUGAGAACACACAAACACGCCGGGAACGUUCCCGUACAAAGAGGACAUCAUGUCCACCAACAACGCGUGCCUGGUCUUCGCUGUGCUGCUCUUUGUGGGCUGUAUCCUCUCCUUAAGGGAGAAGCAUCACACCACAGCCUAUCUGAUUGGUUGCGUCUGGAACUGCUACAGAUACGUGAGUGGGCGGGGCACCACAGAGGUGCUGGUGUACGUCACCACCAACGACACCGCGGUCCUGCUACCCCCCUACGAGGAGGCCGUGGCCCUCCCCCCCAAGGAGCCCCCCCCCCCAGUACAUGGAGCCCUGAGCCACCUUCCACCCUCCCUCCCUCCCUCCCUCCCCCCCCUCCUCGCUGGGCCGUCCCGUUCCCCAAUCCCGUGUGAAAGUCCCGCACUGACGUCAGCGUUUCCAUCAUGUCCGUCAUCACUCUCUAACCCCCCCCCCCCCCCCCACCCCCCACCCAACCACUUAAACUAAAGCAGGGAGGAUACAUUUACAGGAUGAUGAUGAUGAAGAGCAGUCCUCCCUCCUCUCCCUCCCUCUCUCCUCCCCCCUCGUUGGUGACUUUGCCAUGUCCUCCUAACCCAUUACUUCCUGGCAGCUGUUGUUGCCCCUGGCAGCGAGGCCGGUGUACGCGGUCCUCCUAAAACAACCCCCCUGUACCCCCCCCCCCCCCACGUCCCCCCCAUCUCCCGCCCUCUUCUUCUCCCCCUCCAAUUAAUUAAAUUAGCACUUUUUCCUCUGGAUUGAAAGGCGCCCUAGCCUAGCCUCCUGCUGUCAUCCUCUCGAUGCUGUGAAUUUUCCCCGUUGAGGUCUCGUCCGUUAGGUGAAACUAUGAUGGGGGGGGGGGAGACGAGGAGGAGCGAGGGGACGUCCAAAUAUCGUGCUUUUUAAAAGAGCACUUUCUCGUUCUUUGGUUUUUUCCGUUUUUUUUUUAAUCUACGGUUGAUUCCCUCUCUGAAUGUAGUGUCCGGAGUAUUUUGUAAUGAAUUUUUUGUAUGACAGAAAUGUGACGACAGGGUUGAUUACGAAGUUUCCCUCUUAUAACACUCAACACUCUCCACCACUUUGGAAAGCAUGAGGUUCGUUCCUCAGAAAGAGAUCUUCACACAGGAGUCCUCGACCAAUAAACUACGGCCGUUCUUCCUUUUUUGUAUCCAUUUUAAACCACGCGUCUGUAAAACUUGUUCAUUGCCAACGGAAAAGCGGGUUUACCUUUUCACUUUACUCACCCUUCAUUCUGUUCCCGCAAACCCGACAGACGUCUUUACGAUCGGUCAGGUUACUAGUCAUACAUUUUACCAGACUCACAGAUACUACACUUCUAUGGAGUUCCCGAUGCAUAUGCAUACACAUUAACAGAGAAACUGGUUUUAAAAAUAUCUAUUCUUUCUGAAGAGUGACCAGAAUCAACUGUAUUUCAUUACGUUGGACAGUGAUCACUAGGCCAGUACAAACUGGUAUCUUAAAUUGGCUGCACUAGGGGCAUUUUCCUACGAAGACGUGAACUUACCGUUGUGUGUGUGGCGGACUGUGUGUUUGUGUUAGCUUUGUAACUUUCUGAUCGUGUCGUAGUUGUGGCUCCUCUGUAUCUACCGUUUAUUUUUUAUUUGCACACGCAGAAAUUUUCCCCUGCUGGUGAACUGCUAAAUUUAGCCUAGAUGGAAAUUAGCUAUUACGUCAGAGCACAGUUUAGCACAAUAUGAAGACACAUGCUAGACCUCCUUCACCUGGGAGCUGUUUUUAGCUGUAUAAAUAGUACUGGAAAUAACCAUGGGAUAAAACACGAUUAAAUAUG